rnacentral:rRNA from 1 species
CGUCUGCCCAAGGAUGGUCUGCGGCCUAUCAGGUAGUAGUGGGUGUAAUGUACCUACUAGCCAGCGACGGGUACGGGUUGUGAGAGCAAGAGCCCGGAGAUGGAUUCUGAGACAUGAAUCCAGGCCCUACGGGGCGCAGCAGGCGCGAAAACUUUACAAUGCGGGAAACCGUGAUAAGGGGACACCGAGUGCCAGCAUCAUAUGCUGGCUGUCCGGAUGUGUAAAAUACAUCCGUUAGCAAGGGCCGGGCAAGACCGGUGCCAGCCGCCGCGGUAACACCGGCGGCCCGAGUGGUGAUCGUGAUUAUUGGGUCUAAAGGGUCCGUAGCCGGUUUGGUCAGUCCUCCGGGAAAUCUGAUAGCUCAACUAUUAGGCUUUCGGGGGAUACUGCCAGACUUGGAACCGGGAGAGGUAAGAGGUACUACAGGGGUAGGAGUGAAAUCUUGUAAUCCCUGUGGGACCACCUGUGGCGAAGGCGUCUUACCAGAACGGGUUCGACGGUGAGGGACGAAAGCUGGGGGCACGAACCGGAUUAGAUACCCGGGUAGUCCCAGCCGUAAACGAUGCUCGCUAGGUGUCAGGCAUGGCGCGACCGUGUCUGGUGCCGCAGGGAAGCCGUGAAGCGAGCCACCUGGGAAGUACGGCCGCAAGGCUGAAACUUAAAGGAAUUGGCGGGGGAGCACAACAACGGGUGGAGCCUGCGGUUUAAUUGGACUCAACGCCGGACAACUCACCGGGGGCGACAGCAAUAUGUAGGCCAAGCUGAAGACUUUGCCUGAAUCGCUGAGAGGAGGUGCAUGGCCGUCGCCAGUUCGUACUGUGAAGCAUCCUGUUAAGUCAGGCAACGAGCGAGACCCGUGCCCACUGUUACCAGCAUGUCCUCCGGGACGAUGGGUACUCUGUGGGGACCGCCGAUGUUAAAUCGGAGGAAGGUGCGGGCCACGGUAGGUCAGUAUGCCCCGAAUCUCCCGGGCUACACGCGGGCUACAAUGGAUGGGACAAUGGGUCCCUCCCCUGAAAAGGGCUGGUAAUCUCACAAACCCAUUCGUAGUUCGGAUCGAGGGCUGUAACUCGCCCUCGUGAAGCUGGAAUCCGUAGUAAUCGCG